GAUGAACGCUGGCGGCGUGCCUAAUACAUGCAAGUCGAGCGAACAGACGAGGAGCUUGCUCCUCUGACGUUAGCGGCGGACGGGUGAGUAACACGUGGAUAACCUACCUAUAAGACUGGGAUAACUUCGGGAAACCGGAGCUAAUACCGGAUAAUAUAUUGAACUGCAUGGUUCAAUAGUGAAAGACGGUUUUGCUGUCACUUAUAGAUGGAUCCGCGCCGCAUUAGCUAGUUGGUAAGGUAACGGCUUACCAAGGCAACGAUGCGUAGCCGACCUGAGAGGGUGAUCGGCCACACUGGAACUGAGACACGGUCCAGACUCCCACGGGAGGCAGCAGUAGGGAAUCUUCCGCAAUGGGCGAAAGCUUGACGGAGCAACGCCGCGUGAGUGAUGAAGGUCUUCGGAUCGUAAAACUCUGUUAUUAGGGAAGAACAAAUGUGUAAGUAACUAUGCACGUCUUGACGGUACCUAAUCAGAAAGCCACGGCUAACUACGUG
rnacentral:rRNA from 1 species